AUGGCGGUAGUGUACACCACCAUCCUGUCGUGCCGAGAUGGAUCACGGUGGUAUCAGCUCCAGCGAGGAAGGCGUGAUUUAUGUACUCUAUAUCCAACUGCACAGAUCACGUGGCUCCAAGUUCGUAAGAAAACAAGGAGACGUCUCCCCUUUUUCUUCCUUCUGGCAUCUUUUGCCUCAUUAAGAUCUCUCUCCAGUCUUUCCUCGCUGUCUUUUUAUAUUAUUAGUAGGACUACAUAUAUAGGAGUAUAUGACAACCAAUGCACCUGCAACACUACUCAACCAAGUAGCACCAUUGCAAGAUGGAGUAUAAAUUAUUUUCCCUCUUCAAAUUGA
rnacentral:rRNA from 1 species